rnacentral:rRNA from 1 species
GGGCCCGCACAAGCGGCGGAGCAUGCGGAUUAAUUCGAUGCAACGCGAAGAACCUUACCAAGGCUUGACAUAUAGAGGAAACGGCUGGAAACAGUCGCCCCGCAAGGUCUCUAUACAGGUGGUGCAUGGUUGUCGUCAGCUCGUGUCGUGAGAUGUUGGGUUAAGUCCCGCAACGAGCGCAACCCUCGUCCUAUGUUGCCAGCACGUAAUGGUGGGAACUCAUGGGAUACUGCCGGGGUCAACUCGGAGGAAGGUGGGGAUGACGUCAAAUCAUCAUGCCCCUUAUGUCUUGGGCUUCACGCAUGCUACAAUGGCCGGUACAAAGGGCUGCAAUACCGCAAGGUGGAGCGAAUCCCAAAAAGCCGGUCUCAGUUCGGAUUGAGGUCUGCAACUCGACCUCAUGAAGUCGGAGUCGCUAGUAAUCGCAGAUCAGCAACGCUGCGGUGAAUACGUUCCCGGGCCUUGUACACACCGCCCGUCAAGUCAUGAAAGUCGGUAACACCCGAAGCCAGUGGCCGAACCCGCAAGGGAUGGAGCUGUCGAAGGUGGGAUCGGUGAUUAGGACU